UCCCUGGUCGUCCAGUGGGUAAGACUCUGCACUCCUAAUGCAGAGGUCCCAGGUUUGAACCCUGGUCGGGGAA